rnacentral:rRNA from 1 species
CCCUUAGAUGUCCUGGGCUGCACGCGCGCUACACUGGAAGUUACGGAUUGAGAUACUACCUUGUCCGAAAUGGUCCGGGUAAUCACCUAAAAGCUUGUCAUAAUUGGAAUGGAUUAUUGUAACUAGUAAUCCUGAACGAGGAAUUCCUAGUAAGUCCCAGUCAACAGCUGGUACUGAUUACGUCCCUGCCCUUUGUACACACCGCCCGUCGCUACUACUGAUUGGACGUUUAAGCAAGAUUUUUAAACACUGACAGUGUGUAGUUCACGCUAUACUACAGUGAGAAGAAGAAGAUCGAGCUUACUCGUCUAGAGGAAGUAAAAGUCGUAACA